CAUAAUGUUGGAAGUAGUAUUAUAGUAAACAGUUAUGUAUUGUUGUGCAAAGGAUAUUUCCUAUAAUACAAAAUAGGCGAGGGAUAAUUCGAGGUUUGUUGGAUGGACAUCUGUUACUCAUUGAUGUUUUUUUUUCUGUUUUAAGCUACACAGUUGGACCAGAGUUUUGUAAGGAAUUUUAAUAUAAAAAAUACACAUUAAAUCGCAUAGGCG